rnacentral:tRNA from 1 species
CAUUAAGAAGCUAAUUGAUAAGCAUCAGCCUUUUAAGCUGAAGACUGGUGGCCCAAAACCACCCUUAAUGA